UUUAAAUUUAACGUUGUAUGUUAAAAAAUAUCAAGAUGCUUGUUUAUUUUCUAUCAAAAAAUCUGUAAUACAUUACAAAGAAGUCAAUAUACUUGCAAUGUUACUGAUAAUAAAUCAAAUGUUUCAUUUACCAGUUAAAUCUGUGACAAAAUUACAAGACAUUACCAAUGUAAUUAAAUUAGAAUACGACAAACGAUGUGAUCUUACCGUCCAUAAUAAUAGAUUCAUUAUCGACGCAAUAAAAAAAAUCAUUAACACGA